rnacentral:rRNA from 1 species
GAUGAACGCUGGCGGCGUGCCUAAUACAUGCAAGUCGAGCGAACGGACGAGAAGCUUGCUCCUCUGAUGUUAGCGGCGGACGGGUGAGUAACACGUGGAUAACCUACCUAUAAGACUGGGAUAACUUCGGGAAACCGGAGCUAAUACCGGCUAAUAUUUUGAACCGCAUGGUUCAAAAGUGAAAGACGGUCUUGCUGUCACUUAUAGAUGGAUCCGCGCUGCAUUAGCUAGUUGGUAAGGUAACGGCUUACCAAGGCAACGAUGCAUAGCCGACCUGAGAGGGUGAUCGGCCACACUGGAACUGAGACACGGUCCAGACUCCUACGGGAGGCAGCAGUAGGGAAUCUUCCGCAAUGGGCGAAAGCCUGACGGAGCAACGCCGCGUGAGUGAUGAAGGUCUUCGGAUCGUAAAACUCUGUUAUUAGGGAAGAACAUAUGUGUAAGUAACUGUGCACGUCUUGACGGUACCUAAUCAGAAAGCCACGGCUAACUACGUG